AGAACGAACGCUGGCGGCAUGCCUAACACAUGCAAGUCGAACGUGAUCCAGGCUUCGGCCUGGUGAAAGUGGCAGACGGGUGAGUAACGCGUGGGAACCUGCCCUGUGGUAGGGAAUAACCGUGGGAAACUGCGGCUAAUACCCUAUGAGUCCUUCGGGAGAAAGAUUUAUCGCCAUAGGAGGGGCCCGCGUCGGAUUAGGUAGUUGGUGGGGUAACGGCCUACCAAGCCUUCGAUCCGUAGCUGGUCUGAGAGGAUGAUCAGCCACACUGGGACUGAGAUACGGCCCAGACUCCUACGGGAGGCAGCAGUGGGGAUAUUGGACAAUGGGGGCAACCCUGAUCCAGCAAUGCCGCGUGGAUGAUGAAGGCCUUCGGGUUGUAAAGUCCUUUCGGCGGGGAAGAUGAUGACGGUACCGCAGAGAAGCCCCGGCUAACUUCGUGCCAGCAGCCGC
rnacentral:rRNA from 1 species